CUACGGGCGGCAGCAGUGGGGAAUAUUGGACAAUGGGGGAAACCCUGAUCCAGCAAUGCCGCGUGUGUGAAGAAGGCCUGCGGGUUGUAAAGCACUUUCGGUUGGGAGGACUGCUUCUAGCACUAAUAUUGUUGGAAGUUGACGUUACCUUCAGAAGAAGCACCGGCUAACUCCGUGCCAGCAGCCGCGGUAGUACGGAGGGUGCAAGCGUUAAUCGGAAUUACUGGGCGUAAAGCGCGCGUAGGCGGCUAGAUCAGUCGGGUGUGAAAGCCCCGGGCUUAACCUGGGAACUGCAUCCGAUACUGUCUAGCUUGAGUACAGGAGAGGAGAGUGGAAUUCCACAUGUAGCGGUGAAAUGCGUAGAUAUGUGGAGGAACACCAAUGGCGAAGGCAGCUCUCUGGCCUGAUACUGACGCUGAGGCGCGAAAGCGUGGGGAGCAGACAGGAUUAGAUACCCCAGUAGUC
rnacentral:rRNA from 1 species